GACGAACGCUGGCGGCGUGCCUAAUACAUGCAAGUUGAGCGCUGAAGGUUGGUACUUGUACCAACUGGAUGAGCAGCGGACGGGUGAGUAACGCGUGGGGAAUCUGCCUUUGAGCGGGGGACAACAUUUGGAAACGAAUGCUAAUACCGCAUAAAAACUUUAAACACAAGUUUUAAGUUUGAAAGAUGCAAUUGCAUCACUCAAAGAUGAUCCCGCGUUGUAUUAGCUAGUUGGUGAGGUAAAGGCUCACCAAGGCGAUGAUACAUAGCCGACCUGAGAGGGUGAUCGGCCACAUUGGGACUGAGACACGGCCCAAACUCCUACGGGAGGCAGCAGUAGGGAAUCUUCGGCAAUGGACGAAAGUCUGACCGAGCAACGCCGCGUGAGUGAAGAAGGUUUUCGGAUCGUAAAACUCUGUUGGUAGAGAAGAACGUUUGUGAGAGUGGAAAGCUCAUCAAGUGACGGUAACUACCCAGAAAGGGACGGCUAACUACGUG
rnacentral:rRNA from 1 species